CUUUACUGUAACUUGAAAUUGAAAUUGGACUUUAUUUGCGCAGUAUAGGUGGGAGGCGUUGAGAGUAUUCUUGCGGGAAUAUUGGAGCCAUCAGUGAGAUACCACUCUUGUAAUGUUAGAUUUCUAACUUUGAAUCAUUAUCUGGUCAAAGGACAGUUUCAGGCGGGCAGUUUGACUGGGGCGGUCGCCUCCUAAACGGUAACGGAGGCGUACAAAGGUUUCCUCUGAACGGGUAGAAAUCGUAUCUAGAGUGUAAAGGCAUAAGGAAGCUUGACUGUGAGACCUACAAGUCGAGCAGGGACGAAAGUCGGUCUUAGUGAUCUGACGGUGCUGAGUGGAAAGGCCGUCACUCAACGGAUAAAAGUUA
rnacentral:rRNA from 1 species